GAUGAACGCUGGCGGCGUGCUUAACACAUGCGAGUCGAACGAUGAAGCCCAGCUUGCUGGGUGGAUUAGUGGCGAACGGGUGAGUAACACGUGAGUAACCUGCCCUUAACUCUGGGAUAUGCCUGGGAAACUGGGUCUAAUACCGGAUAGGAGCGUCCACCGCAUGGUGGGUGUUGGAGAGAUUUAUCGGUUUUGGAUGGACUCGCGGCCUAUCAGCUUGUUGGUGAGGUAAUGGCUCACCAAGGCGACGACGGGUAGCCGGCCUGAGAGGGUGACCGGCCACACUGGGACUGAGACACGGCCCAGACUCCUACGGGAGGCAGCAGUGGGGAAUAUUGCACAAUGGGCGCAAGCCUGAUGCAGCGACGCCGCGUGAGGGAUGACGGCCUUCGGGUUGUAAACCUCUUUCAGUAGGGAAGAAGCGAAAGUGACGGUACCUGCAGAAGAAGCACCGGCUAACUACGUG
rnacentral:rRNA from 1 species